rnacentral:rRNA from 1 species
GUAAAGAGUUGCGUAGGUGGCAGAGUAAGUAGAUAGUGAAAGCGUCCCGCUCAACGGGAUACCCAUUAUCUAAACUGCUCAGCUAGAGGACGAGAGAGGUAGAUGGAAUUUCCAAUGUAGGGGUAAAAUCCGUAGAUAUUGGAAGGAACACCGAUGGCGUAGGCAGUCUACUGGCUCGUUCCUGACACUAAGGCACGAAAGCGUGGGGAGCGAACGGGAUUAGAUACCCCGGUAGUCCACGCCGUAAACGAUGGAUGCUAGCUGUAUUCGGUAUCGACCCCGGAUGUAGCGAAGCUAACGCGUUAAGCAUCCCGCCUGUGGAGUACGGUCGCAAGACUAAAACAUAAAGGAAUUGACGGGGACCCGCACAAGCGGUGGAGCGUGUUGUUUAAUUCGAUGGUAAGCGAAGAACCUUACCCAGGCUUGACAUCCUUGGAAUUUCUCCGAAAGGAGAGAGUGCUUUUAGAGCCAAGUGACAGGUGAUGCAUGGCCGUCGUCAGCUCGUGUCGUGAGAUGUUUGGUUAAGUCCAUCAACGAGCGCAACCCUUAUAGUUAGUUGUAUUUUUCUAGCUAGACUGCCCUGGUAACAGGGAGGAAGGAGGGGAUGAUGUCAGGUCAGUAUUUCCCUUACGCCUGGGGCUACAAACACGCUACAAUGGCCGGUACAAAGGGCAGCCAAGUCGCGAGACGGAGCAAACCCCAUCAAAGCCGGUCUCAGUUCGGAUAGCAGGCUGAAACUCGCCUGCUUGAAGCCGGAAUCGCUAGUAACGGUAGGUCAGAACACUACCGUGAAUACGUUCCCGGGUCUUGUACACACCGCCCGUCAAGCCAUGAAAGUCGCCAAUACCUGACGUGUGAGCUUUGCC